AUGAUGAACGCUAGCUACAGGCUUAACACAUGCAAGUCGAGGGGCAUCAGGAAGAAAGCUUGCUUUCUUUGCUGGCGACCGGCGCACGGGUGAGUAACACGUAUCCAACCUGCCCUUUACUCGGGGAUAGCCUUUCGAAAGAAAGAUUAAUACCCGAUGGCAUAAUGAUUCCGCAUGGUUUCAUUAUUAAAGGAUUCCGGUAAAGGAUGGGGAUGCGUUCCAUUAGGUUGUUGGUGAGGUAACGGCUCACCAAGCCUUCGAUGGAUAGGGGUUCUGAGAGGAAGGUCCCCCACAUUGGAACUGAGACACGGUCCAAACUCCUACGGGAGGCAGCAGUGAGGAAUAUUGGUCAAUGGGCGCUAGCCUGAACCAGCCAAGUAGCGUGAAGGAUGAAGGCUCUAUGGGUCGUAAACUUCUUUUAUAUAAGAAUAAAGUGCAGUAUGUAUACUGUUUUGUAUGUAUUAUAUGAAUAAGGAUCGGCUAACUCCGUGCCAGCAGCCGCGGUAAUACGGAGGAUCCGAGCGUUAUCCGGAUUUAUUGAGUUUAAAGGGAGCGUAGGUGGACUGGUAAGUCAGUUGUGAAAGUUUGCGGCUCAACCGUAAAAUUGCAGUUGAUACUGUCAGUCUUGAGUACAGUAGAGGUGGGCGGAAUUCGUGGUGUAGCGGUGAAAUGCUUAGAUAUCACGAAGAACUCCGAUUGCGAAGGCAGCUCACUGGACUGCAACUGACACUGAUGCUCGAAAGUGUGGGUAUCAAACAGGAUUAGAUACCCUGGUAGUCCACACAGUAAACGAUGAAUACUCGCUGUUUGCGAUAUACAGUAAGCGGCCAAGCGAAAGCAUUAAGUAUUCCACCUGGGGAGUACGCCGGCAACGGUGAAACUCAAAGGAAUUGACGGGGGCCCGCACAAGCGGAGGAACAUGUGGUUUAAUUCGAUGAUACGCGAGGAACCUUACCCGGGCUUAAAUUGCAGUGGAAUGAUGUGGAAACAUGUCAGUGAGCAAUCACCGCUGUGAAGGUGCUGCAUGGUUGUCGUCAGCUCGUGCCGUGAGGUGUCGGCUUAAGUGCCAUAACGAGCGCAACCCUUAUCUUUAGUUACUAACAGGUUAUGCUGAGGACUCUAGAGAGACUGCCGUCGUAAGAUGUGAGGAAGGUGGGGAUGACGUCAAAUCAGCACGGCCCUUACGUCCGGGGCUACACACGUGUUACAAUGGGGGGUACAGAAGGCAGCUAGCGGGUGACCGUAUGCUAAUCCCAAAAGCCUCUCUCAGUUCGGAUCGAAGUCUGCAACCCGACUUCGUGAAGCUGGAUUCGCUAGUAAUCGCGCAUCAGCCACGGCGCGGUGAAUACGUUCCCGGGCCUUGUACACACCGCCCGUCAAGCCAUGGGAGCCGGGGGUACCUGAAGUACGUAACCGCAAGGAUCGUCCUAGGGUAAAACUGGUG
rnacentral:rRNA from 1 species